AUAUUUUGUGAUUUUGAUAUUUGUAUCUGUUUUGCUUAGUGCAUUGUUUUACUGCUGUUUGUGUGUGUUUACUAUUGGUGUUUUCAUUGUUUGUUUUUGUGCUGUUGAAUGUGUAUGUUCUUUUGUGUGUAUUUAUUGUUGUUUUGAUUGCUUUGUGUGUUUUUUGAUUGCAUGUUUAUCUCCCUAGGCUGUACGUUUUGAGCACGUCUUGCAUCUGUUAACACGCUAUGUGACGGUCAG